rnacentral:rRNA from 1 species
GACGAACCGUGCAAACGUUGUUCGGAAUCACUGGGCUUAAAGGGCGCGUAGGCGGCAGAUCAAGUCCGGGGUGAAAUCCUGCAGCUUAACUGUAGAAGUGCCUUGGAUACUGAUGUGCUCGAGGGAGGUAGGGGUCUGUGGAACUUCUGGUGGAGCGGUGAAAUGCGUUGAUAUCAGAAGGAACGCCGGUGGCGAAAGCGACGGACUGGACCUCUUCUGACGCUGAGGCGCGAAAGCUAGGGGAGCAAACGGG